GUCGUUCAUCAGCUGCAUCAGCUGACCACCAAAUGACCCCAGAGUGAAGAAGGCACAUCAGGCUCCUAUUAAUGUGGCCACAGAUUCACACAUUUGCUUGAUGAAAGCCUAGUGCAAAGGAAUAGAGUCUUAUUGUGGACUUGGAAACCUCCUAGUUAUUUAGAUGUGAACUCACGCUUUUGCUCAUCUCUGGGAAACACAGCACAUUUUUUUAAAGUACAUCUUGCAUCAUGGAUUGAAAGGCUAAGACCUUACCAUUAGAUCUAGCAUGAAGCCCUCACCCAUGCCGUGUAACUCUACAUUUACUCCUUCCUUCCAUCUUCAGGGGAAAAGAAGCAGGGGCUGAUAAAACAAGCAGAGAAGGCCCAGGGUCGGUUUAUUGACUUCUAAGGACUAUUGGUCUUUUGCAGUGAAGGAAAAAAAAAAAAUGCCUUAGGACCUGCUAGGUGCUAAUUUGACCUGGCAAUGAGGUAAAGUUAGGCUUUGGCUGUCUUCAACCUCCUAGGAUCGGAAUGCCAUCUACUUAGCAUAGGAGUCAGACAAUUCCCUGGCAAUAGAUCGCUUUCCACUUGUGCAGCUACUGAAUAAAUAGCAAAGUAAUUAACAGUGUGCUAUGGCUAGAUGUAUCAGGUGGAAUUUCAUUACAGCAGAAAGAACUGAGAGAAUGAAGGAGUCAUUUUGUGUCCACCGUCAGGUGAAUCGUUUGUGCUUUCUUUCACUAGGAUGGACAGGUUAUCUCUGCUUUUCUUCAAGAAGAGAAAUUUCUGAAUUCCCUAUCAUAUCUUCACUUUGAUCAAGGGGAAAGGAAGAAAAGAAAACUCUUAAGUGCCUAAAAUUGGUCCAAAAAUAAAGAAUUCUUCUCAUUUUUCCAUUUAAUGAUUUUGUUCCUGAAACCUAUGGGUG
rnacentral:lncRNA from 10 species